UUAAUACUAUCUUCGUCCAACAAAAGAUGUCAAGCUUGUCAAAUUUUAGAUGUAUCUAGACAUGACUUAGUGUAUAGAUGCAUUCAAAUUUGAUGAAAAUUUAAAUAUCUUUUGUUGGAUGGAGGGAGUAGCUA
rnacentral:pre_miRNA from 1 species